AGCGAACGCUGGCGGCAGGCCUAACACAUGCAAGUCGAACGAACUCUUCGGAGUUAGUGGCGGACGGGUGAGUAACACGUGGGAACGUGCCUUUAGGUUCGGAAUAACUCAGGGAAACUUGUGCUAAUACCGAAUGUGCCCUUCGGGGGAAAGAUUUCUCGCCUUUAGAGCGGCCCGCGUCUGAUUAGCUAGUUGGUUGGGGUAAUGGCCCACCAAGGCGACGAUCAGUAGCUGGUCUGAGAGGAUGACCAGCCACAUUGGGACUGAGACACGGCCCAAACUCCUACGGGAGGCAGCAGUGGGGAAUCUUGCGCAAUGGGCGAAAGCCUGACGCAGCCAUGCCGCGUGUAUGAUGAAGGUCUUAGGAUUGUAAAAUACUUUCACCGGUGAAGAUAAUGACUGUAGCCGGAGAAGAAGCCCCGGCUAACUUCGUGCCAGCAGCCGCCGUAACAC
rnacentral:rRNA from 1 species